GGAGGGAUGGCUCAGUGGUUAAGAGCACUGACUGCUCUUCCAGAGGUCCUGAGUUCAAUUCCCAGUAUCUACA
rnacentral:tRNA from 1 species